GAGAGUGAUUCUGUGAACUGAAGGUGAUAGUUAUGGCGCCUACGUUGCGUAGUACUGCUACUGUUCCCAGAAAGAGGCGGGAAUUUCAAUUUUCACCAACUGUUUCCAACAACUUUGAUUACUUACGAUUUUUGAGCAACACGAGAAAAAAAAGGUUUUGUAAAGAGCGCACCAAAAAUUUGUCAAAAACGAAAAAUGAGUGUGAUCUUGAACAGAAGAUUGACUUUGAAAUGAAGAUGAGAGAAGGUAUUAUCAAGCUAUUGGCUGUAUCUAGACAUUCAAUUCAGACUUUGGAAGCUUCCAAAUCUCUAUUAACUUGUACUGAAAGAAUUAAAGCAUACAUGGCAGAACAAGAACAUCAGUCUCUACAAAGUGGAUCUGUGAGGCAGGCAAUGAAAAGUAAGGGCAGAGUUUCUGUAUCAGAUAUCCGAAUGCCACUGAUAUGGAAAGAUAGUGAUCACUUCAAGAAUAAAGGAGAUUACAGAAGGUUUGGUGUCUUCUGUCUACUUAAAAUUGGAAGCAAGAUAGCUGAUACAGAAGUAGUUUGGAAUGUUGAUCGUAAUAUGACGGAUAUCUCCUUUGGCAGUGUGUCAGUUUUCAAUCAGAUUUCUUCUGACUUUGAGGUUAGGUUAGAGGUGUAUAGUCAUAUGCUUCACAAUGAUUUGAGUAUUGCAAGCACCCCAUGCAAGAUUAAGAGGAAGAUAACCAGAUCUAUCAGUCGAACUGUAGGUAGAAAGCUAGCAAUUUCUUUGAAUGAUAAACGUACUAAUGGAGAAAAGAUACAAAACUUGAGACACGGCUAUCCCAUUUUAUCAACCCAUUUUGUUUUAAAAUAGUAAAUUUCACUGAAGAAGUUGUGCUAGCUGCAGAUUCAGUCCAGCACCAUUCUCAAUGGAUUUCACACAUUGUGCAACACAUCAAAGAACAUGAACUAUGGGGGUACUUGGCAGAGUCUGUAAUGAAAAUUUCUUCUCCUUCUUCACUUGUUUUCAGGCAGCAAUCUCUUUAUGAGGAAACAUAAAUCAAAGAUUCUCCUCUUUAUGUAGCAGCUAGUGAAGGUUACAUUUAUCAUUGACCUAGUGGCAAGCUGUUAACCCUUUACAAACCAGACAUCCUAUCUGCUACAAUCUGCCAUAACCAUUUCUUAUCUAUAACAGAGUAUGAACUAUGAGCAUUUUUUUUUUUUUUAGGUUUAUGCAUCAGAGUUAAAUUCCUUCUACUAAUAAUUGGUAAUAUGAAAGAUGAAAACCUAAAAAAAGGCUAUAGUAAGUUACUUAUAAGCUUCAUAGAAAGAACUGAUCUUUGUAACAACUAAUCUCAUAAGUGAUUUGAAUGCCUUCCUGAAGAAAAUUAAGACUUUAUAAGCUUCUUAGAAAAGCAAUAAUCACUUGAGAUCUGAAAAUUCUUUAGAUAAAUAGCUUAAAAAAAUAUGAUGUAAAUUAUAACAUCAGCAUUUUGUGAGGUAAAAUGAUUGUGUUUGAUACUAGUUAAUAUUUACAAUAGCAAGUUGUAUCAGGAGUUUAGUUUGAAGAAUAUUUGUUAUAAAAUAGAUGAAAGCCUCACUAAGCAUUCAGAUGAUUGUGAUUUUUUAAAAUUUAAAUUAUUUUGUACUUGUACAACUUGAAAUUAAUACCUUUACUGAAACUCUUGUACACUCUAUAACUUGUUGCUUUUUCCUUGAUUAUUAUGUUUAAGUUGCACCAUCAGCCUUAAAUUGGAAUUAUCAUGUUAAAAGUCUUUUAUAUUUUGUUACUUAAAGUUUACUUGCAAGAUUAUAUGUAACUUGGAAGCUCAACUGGCAAACUGUGGAUUGUCAUAUGUGUGUAACUUUAUAGUUAACUGUUCUCCUUGAAAUGUUGAAUUAAAUGAUGACUUAUAUGUAA